AUUGUUUCUUGGCCUUUUGGCUAAGAUCAAGUGUGGUACCUGUUCUCAUCAGUUUAAAGGACAGUAUUCCUCAGACUAGAGUUGAGCACAUGCCCUAACAGAACUAAGAUGAUAUAUUACCCACCUCUAUUAUGUGAGAGUUUUAAUUUGUCAGCAUAUAACACAAUAUUUCAACUUAUUGGAUACUUA